rnacentral:rRNA from 1 species
CUCCAGACUCCUACGGGAGGCAGCAGUGGGGAAUAUUGCACAAUGGGGGAAACCCUGAUGCAGCGACGCCGCGUGAGUGAAGAGGUAUUUCGGUAUGUAAAGCUCUAUCAGCAGGGAAGAAAAUGACGGUACCUGACUAAGAAGCCCCGGCUAACUACGUGCCAGCAGCCGCGGUAAUACGUAGGGGGCAAGCGUUAUCCGGAUUUACUGGGUGUAAAGGGGGCGCAGACGGCGAUGCAAGCCAGGAGUGAAAGCCCGGGGCCCAACCCCGGGACUGCUCUUGGAACUGCGUGGCUGGAGUGCAGGAGGGGCAGGCGGAAUUCCUGGUGUAGCGGUGAAAUGCGUAGAUAUCAGGAGGAACACCGGUGGCGAAGGCGGCCUGCUGGACUGCAACUGACGUUGAGGCCCGAAAGCGUGGGGAGCAAACAGGAUUAGAUACCCCAGUA